GACGAACGCUGGCGGCGUGCUUAACACAUGCAAGUCGAACGGAAAGGCCCUGCUUUUGUGGGGUGCUCGAGUGGCGAACGGGUGAGUAACACGUGAGUAACCUGCACUUGACUUUGGGAUAACUUCAGGAAACUGGGGCUAAUACAGGAUAGGAGCUACUGCUGCAUGGUGGGGGUUGGAAAGUUUCGGCGGUUGUGGAUGGACUCGCGGCUUAUCAGCUGGUUGGUGGGGUAGUGGCUUACCAAGGCUUGGACGGGUAGCCGGCCUGGGAGGGUGACCGGCCUCAUUGGGACUGAGAUACGCCCCAGACUCCUACGGGAGGCAGCAGUGGGGAAUAUUGCACAAUGGGCGGAAGCCUGAUGCAGCAACGCCGCGUGCGGGAUGACGGCCUUCGGGUUGUAAACCGCUUUCGCCUGUGACGAAGCGUGAGUGACGGUAAUGGGUAAAGAAGCACCGGCUAACUACGUG
rnacentral:rRNA from 1 species